rnacentral:rRNA from 1 species
UGCUGGAGGUAUCAGAAGUGCGAAUGCUGACAUAAGUAACGAUAAAGCGGGUGAAAAGCCCGCUCGCCGGAAGACCAAGGGUUCCUGUCCAACGUUAAUCGGGGCAGGGUGAGUCGACCCCUAAGGCGAGGCCGAAAGGCGUAGUCGAUGGGAAACAGGUUAAUAUUCCUGUACUUGGUGUUACUGCGAAGGGGGGACGGAGAAGGCUAUGUUGGCCGGGCGACGGUUGUCCCGGUUUAAGCGUGUAGGCUGGUUUUCCAGGCAAAUCCGGAAAACCAAGGCUGAGGCGUGAUGACGAGGCACUACGGUGCUGAAGCGACAAAUGCCCUGCUUCCAGGAAAAGCCUCUAAGCAUCAGGUAACAUCAAAUCGUACCCCAAACCGACACAGGUGGUCAGGUAGAGAAUACCAAGGCGCUUGAGAGAACUCGGGUGAAGGAACUAGGCAAAAUGGUGCCGUAACUUCGGGAGAAGGCACGCUGAUAUGUAGGUGAAGCGACUUGCUCGUGGAGCUGAAAUCAGUCGAAGAUACCAGCUGGCUGCAACUGUUUAUUAAAAACACAGCACUGUGCAAACACGAAAGUGGACGUAUACGGUGUGACGCCUGCCCGGUGCCGGAAGGUUAAUUGAUGGGGUUAGCGGUAACGCGAAGCUCUUGAUCGAAGCCCCGGUAAACGGCGGCCGUAACUAUAACGGUCCUAAGGUAGCGAAAUUCCUUGUCGGGUAAGUUCCGACCUGCACGAAUGGCGUAAUGAUGGCCAGGCUGUCUCCACCCGAGACUCAGUGAAAUUGAACUCGCUGUGAAGAUGCAGUGUACCCGCGGCAAGACGGAAAGACCCCGUGAACCUUUACUAUAGCUUGACACUGAACAUUGAGCCUUGAUGUGUAGGAUAGGUGGGAGGCUUUGAAGUGUGGACGCCAGUCUGCAUGGAGCCGACCUUGAAAUACCACCCUUUAAUGUUUGAUGUUCUAACGUGGGCCCCUUACCGGGGUUGCGGACAGUGUCUGGUGGGUAGUUUGACUGGGGCGGUCUCCUCCUAAAGAGUAACGGAGGAGCACGAAGGUUGGCUAAUCCUGGUCGGACAUCAGGAGGUUAGUGCAAUGGCAUAAGCCAGCUUGACUGCGAGCGUGACGGCGCGAGCAGGUGCGAAAGCAGGUCAUAGUGAUCCGGUGGUUCUGAAUGGAAGGGCCAUCGCUCAACGGAUAAAAGGUACUCCGGGGAUAACAGGCUGAUACCGCCCAAGAGUUCAUAUCGACGGCGGUGUUUGGCACCUCGAUGUCGGCUCAUCACAUCCUGGGGCUGAAGUAGGUCCCAAGGGUAUGGCUGUUCGCCAUUUAAAGUGGUACGCGAGCUGGGUUUAGAACGUCGUGAGACAGUUCGGUCCCUAUCUGCCGUGGGCGCUGGAGAACUGAGGGGGGCUGCUCCUAGUACGAGAGGACCGGAGUGGACGCAUCACUGGUGUUCGGGUUGUCAUGCCAAUGGCACUGCCCGGUAGCUAAAUGCGGAAGAGAUAAGUGCUGAAAGCAUCUAAGCACGAAACUUGCCCCGAGAUGAGUUCUCCCUGACUCCUUGA